GGCAAGGUGGCCGAGUGGUCUAAGGCGCUAGUUUUAGGAAUUUCCCCUGUUCUCUUCUUGAGGAUCAGUCGUGGUAAAAACCACUAGUUCGAAAGAGCAUGGGUUCGAAUCCCAUCCUUGUCA